rnacentral:rRNA from 1 species
GACGAACGCUGGCGGCGUGCUUAACACAUGCAAGUCGAGCGGUAAGGCCCUUUCGGGGUACGACGAGCGGCGAACGGGUGAGUAACACGUGGGUGACCUGCCCUUACGCUCUGGGAGUAAGCCUGGGAAACUGGGUCUAAUACCGGAUAUGACUCCAUGACGCAUGUUGUGGGGUGGAAAGCCUUGUGCGGCUAGGGAUGGGCCCGCGGCCUAUCAGCUUGUUGGUGGGGUGAUGGCCACCAAGGCGACGACGGGUAGCCGGCCUGAGAGGGCGACCGGCCAC